ACACAUAAUUAUGAUUAUAUUUUCAAAUAGGUUUUUUUUUUUUUGAAAAGUCAAAUAGAGUUUUUUAAGCACUAAAAAUAUUCAGUUUUUUAACACAACAUGCACUUCAUAUGUUAUAAAUCGGUCAAAUCAUAUUCUAUUUGUUAAUUGCGAAGAGAGAAAAAAUAUGGUUAAAACCCUUAAGUUUGUGUGUGCCAUUAUUUAUUUUUUCUCGAUAUUUCUUGUUGCAAUGAACCAACCAUACCCAAUUGAUUGUGAAACUGAAGAGGAUUGCCCAAUAGCUGUGGCUGGCAAGUUUGUUUGCUAUAAGAAAAAAUGUUGGCAUCUUUAUCUAUUGAAUAAAUAACAGAUCAAAGAGAGUACAUUCCAUGCAUGGACGAAUGAGUUCUUACUCUAAUAAAAAAAUCGAUGUAGUAGUAGUAUACCUUAUGAUAAAAUAUUCCAAAUUUGGAAUUUAGUUACUAUGAUGCACCCAAUAAAUGUAUAUAGUAUUUUACUUUAUUUUCUUUUUUAA